UACGUAGGGUGCGAGCGUUAAUCGGAAUUACUGGGCGUAAAGCGUGCGUAGGCGGUUUGUUAAGUCUGUUGUGAAAGCCCCGGGCUCAACCUGGGAAUGGCAAUGGAUACUGGCAAGCUAGAGUGCGGUAGAGGGUAGUGGAAUUCCCGGUGUAGCGGUGAAAUGCGUAGAGAUCGGGAGGAACACCAGUGGCGAAGGCGGCUACCUGGACCAGCACUGACACUGAGGCACGAAAGCGUGGGGAGCAAACAGG
rnacentral:rRNA from 1 species